AUUCUAUAUUGCCUAAAAACAUGUACAUGGCGUUGUAUUCGUUCCAUUGAAACAGUGUCUUCGCCAGGGGGUCUGAAUGUUGAAAAUUGUUGUUUGGAUAAAGUGUUGGACUUUUCGUGCCGGCCUUGGAUUACAUCAACUGAAUCUAGAUCUUUCGAAUCAAACAAAAAACAAAUCUACAACUUCUUUCGAAUUAAACAAUACCAACUUGGCAACUUGCUUCUUUACAAAAUAUUUAGUAUAUUCCUCGCAUUGUUUAUAACUUGAUUUGCCUUCACCAGAAGCUCAAGUCUUCAUAUCUGCGUUGUUUAAAAAACAGAAACAAAGGAACCAUUGAAAUGUCAGCCUUCAACACAAAAUCAAUUAAGAAUAAGAUCAAUUAAGAACGAGUUAGGAUUUGAUAACAUCUGGAUUCAUCUGAAGCCCCUCAGGCAUGAUUGAGCUCAGUUUGAAAUACAUUUUGUGAGCUUUGAAGGGCCCCGACUUGACUUGAUUUGAUUUUUAAAAUGGCCCAUUAGCCAUAGCCAUGACAUGAGGAAUUGCCCAAUAACAACACCAUGCAUCAAUGAGAGGCUAGCAGAUGAAGGCCCAUAUCACCAACUGAGAGUUUUUGGGUAGGCUUUCUCCAUCUGUUGCAAAAUCCCAUGGUUUGUGCAUCUUGUUUGGUGCACUUAAAAGGUCAAGAAAUCCAAUGUGCCAUGAAAAAAGUAUGAGCUUGGGUUUAGGUGGAGUUUUUAUAAUGCAGGGCUAAUAUUGAGGGGUUACAAUGAGGAGAUUCAAUCCAAUAAUAAUUAUGCACUUGAUCGAACGACUACUAAGUACCUCCUCAUUCUAGCCACCCUGUUUUUUUAAUGAGUAUGAGUGGACUUGGGCAGCCUCUUCUCACCAUACAAUCUAACAAACUUGAGAGUGCAAAUUUUGAUGUUUACUGUAUUUUUCAUAGUUUCUUGAAUUUGACUAAUCCAGAUCAUCACAUGACAUCCAGUGCAUUCAUCAAUAAGAGAGUCAAAGGUCAUGUAUCAGACUCAUAUCAUGCAUUAUAAUUUGAUUGUCACCGUCGGGUGCUACCAAGCACCGCCGGACACGUUGAGGAGCUAGAACUCGUGUAAGGGCGGAUGCAAGCAGCUACUGGUUGGACCGGGUGAGCUGACACUCUGUCUCCUAAACUCGUUCAUCUUGGUCGAAGCGAGAAUGGGCCAUAAUUACGACCCUAUGCUUUUGGGCCAAUCACGACAAGACAGCCUACAGCCUAUUUCUAGCUCAAACCCAAGCACUCUUUUUAUGUCCCAUCAAAUGAGAAAUAGGCUGAAUUUUUUUUUAAAUAUAACCGAUAAUUCAAAUUACGAAGAGAGUAAGAACAGUUUCUAACACACAUUACAAAUGUGUCAUGAGAUUCAAACACGAGAUUACUGAUAUGUUUAAUCAAAGUUCUUUUCCACCGGUCUAGACCCUAUUAGCAACCUUUAUAGGUAUAUAUAUUGAAAGAAUAUAAAAAAAUUUCCACUAUUAUAACCAAUCAUCUAUAUUUAGCCUUUAGAUAUAUAAAGAAUAAACUAAUAAAAUCCGUUUGCAAACAAAGGACAAACAAUGGUCUCCCCAAUAAACAAUGUAAUUUUCAAGUAAGAGCUGGAUAAAAUAUAAUUACAUAUUACAAUAAUAUAUAAUUUAUCAAGCACAGGUCUCCAAACCAAAGUUCCGAGGCACAUAUUUUAAAUCGCAUGUCCUCCGCCGGCAAUAACUGGACCAAUUCUAUGUCCUUAUUUUAUUUACUUGUCGACAGAUUCAAAACUUAUGUCUUAUCCUUAAUUAGCUAUUAAAAUUUAAUUGCUUGUAUGAAGAUCUGUCAUCAGUCACGAUCAUUUUCGCAUAUCAUUGAGGGAUAUGUUAUAUUAUUAGGUCUAAAUUUAUAGCCCACCCUAGUAUACUAUUUUAUCCCAAUACUUUUUAUUAUUUUA